AAGGUGGUGGACAUCCCCUGUCGGGCCAAAGGUGUGCCGCCGCCCUCCAUCACCUGGUAUAAGGACGCAGCCGUGGUGGAGGUGGAGAAGUUGACCCGCUUCCGGCAGCGCAGCGACGGGGGCCUGCAGAUCAGCGGCCUGGUGCCCGAUGAUACCGGCAUGUUCCAGUGCUUCGCCCGCAAUGCAGCCGGCGAGGUGCAAACUUCCACCUACCUGGCUGUCACCAGCAUCGCCCCUAACAUCACCAGAGGCCCCCUGGACAGCACGGUGAUCGACGGCAUGUCAGUGGUGCUAGCAUGUGAGACCUCGGGGGCGCCCCGACCAGCUAUCACUUGGCAGAAAGGGGAGCGCAUCUUGGCCAGUGGCUCUGUGCAGCUGCCUCGCUUCACACCCCUGGAGUCGGGCAGCCUCCUCAUCAGCCCCACACACAUCUCCGACGCGGGGACCUACACCUGCCUGGCCACCAACUCUCGGGGGGUCGAUGAGGCCUCAGCAGACCUAGUCGUUUGGGCUCGGACCCGCAUCACCAAGCCCCCCCAGGAUCAGAGUGUCAUCAAGGGCACCCAGGCCUCCAUGGUGUGCGGAGUGACCCACGACCCCCGAGUGACCAUCAGGUACAUCUGGGAGAAAGACGGGGCUACCCUGGGCACGGAGAGCCAUCCUCGUAUCCGCCUGGACAGAAACGGCUCCCUGCACAUCUCACAGACGUGGUCGGGAGACAUCGGCACGUACACCUGCCGGGUGAUCUCAGCAGGAGGCAACGACUCUCGCAGUGCCCACCUGCGAGUCAGGCAACUGCCCCACGCGCCCGAGCACCCAGUGGCCACUCUCAGCACCGUGGAAAGGCGAGCCAUCAACCUGACGUGGACCAAGCCCUUUGAUGGCAACAGCCCCCUGAUCCGCUACAUUCUGGAGAUGUCGGAGAACAAUGCCCCCUGGACUGUACUCCUGGCCAGUGUGGACCCCAAAGCUACCUCAGUGACAGUCAAGGGCCUAGUUCCUGCACGCUCCUACCAGUUCCGUCUUUGUGCCGUCAACGACGUGGGGAAAGGACAGUUCAGCAAAGACACCGAGAGGGUCUCCCUCCCCGAGGAGCCCCCCACGGCCCCUCCACAGAACGUCAUCGCCAGCGGUCGAACCAACCAGUCCAUCAUGAUCCAGUGGCAGCCGCCUCCUGAGAGCCACCAGAAUGGAAUUCUCAAGGGCUACAUCAUCAGGUACUGCCUGGCCGGGCUGCCCGUGGGGUACCAGUUUAAGAACAUCACGGAUGCUGAUGUGAACAACCUGCUGCUGGAGGAUCUCAUCAUUUGGACCAACUACGAGAUCGAGGUGGCUGCUUACAACAGCGCUGGGCUGGGGGUCUACAGCAGUAAAGUCACCGAGUGGACGCUGCAGGGAGUUCCCACGGUCCCUCCGGGCAAUGUGCACGCGGAAGCCACCAAUUCCACGACCAUCCGCUUCACCUGGAACGCCCCCAGCCCCCAGUUCAUCAACGGCAUCAACCAGGGCUACAAGCUGAUCGCCUGGGAGCCGGAACAGGAAGAGGAGGUUACCAUGGUGACCGCCAGGCCUAACUUUCAAGACAGCAUCCACGUGGGCUUCGUGUCUGGCUUGAAGAAGUUCACCGAGUACUUCACCUCAGUGCUGUGUUUCACCACCCCCGGGGACGGGCCACGCAGCACCCCGCAGCUGGUGCGCACCCAUGAGGAUGUGCCUGGGCCCGUGGGACACCUGAGCUUCAGUGAGAUCCUGGACACAUCGCUGAAGGUCAGCUGGCAAGAGCCGGGAGAGAAAAAUGGCAUCCUCACAGGGUACCGGAUCUCCUGGGAGGAGUACAAUCGAACCAACACCCGUGUGACCCACUACCUGCCCAACGUGACCCUGGAGUACCGUGUCACGGGCCUCACCGCGCUCACCACCUACACCAUCGAGGUGGCCGCCAUGACCUCAAAGGGCCAGGGCCAAGUGUCCGCCUCCACCAUCUCCUCUGGGGUGCCCCCAGAACUCCCAGGGCCCCCCACCAACCUGGGCAUUUCCAACAUCGGCCCCCGCUCUGUGACCUUGCAGUUCAGGCCAGGCUACGAUGGGAAAACCUCCAUCUCCCGCUGGCUGGUGGAAGCCCAGGUAGGCGUGGUUGGGGAGGGAGAGGAGUGGUUGCUGAUCCACCAGCUCUCCAAUGAGCCCGAUGCCCGCUCCAUGGAGGUGCCCGACCUCAACCCCUUCACCUACUACAGCUUCCGCAUGCGCCAGGUGAACAUCGUGGGCACCAGCCCCCCCAGUCAGCCUUCUAGAAAGAUCCAGACCCUGCAGGCACCCCCUGACAUGGCCCCAGCCAAUGUGUCUCUGCGCACAGCCAGUGAGACCAGCCUGUGGCUGCGCUGGAUGCCUCUCCCGGAGAUGGAAUACAAUGGGAACCCUGAGUCCGUGGGCUAUAAGAUCAAGUACAGCCGGUCAGACGGGCAUGGCAAGACGCUGAGCCACGUGGUGCAGGACCGUGUGGAGCGGGAGUACACCAUCGAGGACCUGGAGGAGUGGACAGAGUACCGCGUCCAGGUCCAGGCCUUCAACGCCAUCGGGAGCGGGCCCUGGAGCCAGACGGUGGUGGGCAGGACCCGGGAGUCAGUCCCUUCUUCCGGCCCCACCAAUGUGUCUGCACUGGCCACCACCUCCAGCAGCAUGCUGGUGCGCUGGAGCGAGGUCCCCGAGGCCGAUCGCAACGGGCUCGUGCUGGGCUAUAAGGUGAUGUAUAAGGAGAAGGACUCGGACACCCAGCCCCGAUUCUGGCUGGUGGAAGGCAACUCGUCUCGCAGUGCCCAGCUGACCGGCUUGGGCAAAUACGUGCUCUAUGAAGUCCAGGUGCUGGCCUUCACACGCAUCGGGGACGGCAGCCCCAGCCACCCUCCCAUCCUGGAGCGGACGCUGGAUGAUGUCCCAGGACCACCCAUGGGCAUCCUGUUCCCAGAGGUGCGGACCACGUCUGUGCGGCUGAUCUGGCAGCCCCCUGCUGCCCCCAAUGGCAUCAUUCUUGCUUACCAGAUCACACACCGGCUCAACACCACCACGGCCAACACCGCCACUGUGGAGGUGCUGGCACCCAGCGCCCGGCAGUACACAGCCACGGGCCUCAAGCCAGAGUCUGUCUACCUGUUCCGCAUCACGGCCCAGACCCGCAAGGGCUGGGGAGAAGCUGCCGAGGCCUUGGUGGUGACCACCGAGAAGAGAGACCGUCCGCAGCCCCCCAGCAGGCCGAUGGUGCAGCAGGAGGAUGUGAGAGCACGCAGCGUGCUGCUGUCCUGGGAGCCAGGGAGCGACGGGCUCUCCCCUGUGCGCUACUACACCAUCCAGACCCGCGAGCUGCCCAGCGGCAGGUGGGCACUGCACUCGGCCUCCGUGAGCCACAACGCCUCCAGCUUCAUUGUGGACAGGCUGAAGCCCUUCACGUCCUACAAGUUCCGAGUGAAGGCGACCAAUGACAUUGGCGACAGCGAGUUCAGCGAGGAGUCGGAGUCACUGACCACCCUGCAGUCUGCCCCCGACGAAGCACCCACCAUCCUCUCCGUGACGCCCCACACCACCACCUCCGUGCUAAUCCGAUGGCAGCCGCCAGCAGAGGACAAGAUCAAUGGCAUCCUCCUGGGCUUCCGGAUCCGAUACCGGGAGCUGCUCUAUGAAGGACUGAGGGGCUUCACGCUUCGAGGCAUCAACAACCCAGGGGCCACAUGGGCUGAGCUUACCUCCAUGUACUCCAUGCGGAACCUGAGCCGGCCCAGCCUCACGCAGUACGAGCUGGACAACCUGAACAAGCACAGGCGGUACGAGAUACGGAUGAGCGUGUACAACGCUGUGGGCGAGGGGCCCUCCAGCCCCCCGCAGGAGGUCUUUGUUGGGGAGGCAGUGCCCACAGCAGCACCUCGUAACGUGGUCGUCCACGGCGCCACAGCCACACAGCUGGACGUGACUUGGGAGCCACCUCCGCUGGACAGCCAGAAUGGAGACAUCCAGGGGUACAAGAUUUAUUUCUGGGAAGCCCAGCGGGGGAACCUCACGGAGCGAGUGAAGACGCUUUUCCUGGCUGAGAACAGCGUGAAGCUCAAGAACUUGACUGGCUACACGGCCUACAUGGUCAGCGUGGCCGCCUUCAACGCCGCUGGGGAUGGGCCUCGGAGCACCCCCACCCAAGGCCAGACCCAGCAAGCAGCCCCCAGCGCUCCCAGCUCGGUCAAGUUCAGUGAGCUGACCACAACCUCAGUGAACGUGUCCUGGGAAGCCCCGCAGUUCCCCAAUGGCAUCCUGGAGGGCUACAGGCUGGUGUACGAGCCCUGCAGCCCCGUGGAUGGAGUCAGCAAGAUCGUGACAGUGGACGUGAAGGGGAACAGCCCCCUGUGGCUGAAGGUGAAGGACCUGGCGGAGGGGGUGACCUACAGGUUCCGCAUCAGAGCCAAGACCUUCACCUACGGGCCGGAGAUCGAAGCCAACGUCACCACGGGCCCCGGAGAAGGUGCCCCAGGACCGCCUGGCGUGCCCAUCAUCGUGCGGUACAGCUCUGCCAUCGCCAUUCACUGGUCCAGCGGAGACCCGGGCAAAGGGCCCAUCACCCGCUACGUCAUCGAGGCCAGACCUUCAGGUGCGCCCCGCCCUGCUGGGCUGAGACCCCACAGCUCAUUGUCUCCCUUCUUCCUGGGUCCCUCCACUUGGGGCACUUGCCUCUGUCCUCCGCCUGAGAAGGCGCUUGUGCUACUACAGGUGAAGUCACCUGGCCCUGUUGAGGAGUGGGAAACUGGGUUGGGGGGCUCCUAGAGCUGGACUCCUAGCUAAGUAACCCCCAGGAGGCCCCCAGAGAACGGCUGUUAGUGCUAGCUGAGGACCAGCUUGGGUUGAGGAUUGCUCAGGAGGCCAGAAGCCUGAGCACGUGGCUCACGUGGGUCACACACCGAAUCCUCCAUACGACCCCACUGAUGGGUGCCCCAUUACUAAGGAGACCCUGGCUGCCUCUCGAAGCCCUGCCUCUGCCAUCAUGGCUGUCUCAGUGGCUGCUGUAAUCGUACCAGCCUCUCCUGUCAAGCCUGAAAUUGAAUCACAAGAACUUCCAAAGCCAUCAGGAGAUGAGUGACAGAUAAGUCAGUCGGGGGGCUGCUCCCCACUGCUCCGGUUUCACCCAUCCUGACACCCGCUUGCUGGGCUCUGCUUACUCUCAGGAGCUUGCAGCCACUGCCAGCUCCCUGCGUUGCUAGGUUUCCAAGUUAAUCAGAGGUGCCAGAGUCAGCAAGAGCAGGAGGCCUGUUCUCUGUAUCCCAUGGAUCCGCGGUUAGGUGAUUAAAAUUGAGAAGGAAAAC
rnacentral:sRNA from 1 species